UUGUAAGUUUUAAUGUUAGAAACAGUGUCUCGUCUCAGGUGUCGUCGUGUGGUCGUGUUCUAUUCAGCGAGCGUGGUCGUGUUCUAUUCAGCGAAGAAGAUCUGUCGCGUGGUUGUUCUUCAACGGAGAAGAUCGUAAACGGAGAAGAUCGUUUAAAGGUCUCACAAGAACCAUCCUCCACCACCGUUCUUCACUGACUCAUGAAACUUCUACAUUAACCAUGCCAUAGCCAUUGCAAUUAGAGUGAGUUCGAUUUUGUCACUGCGUCGCGCCAUUGCUGUCAGGUUUUCUGCUCUUUCAGUAUUUUCUAUUUCUGCUAUUUGCAUAUUUCAUUGCAUAUUUGACUGAGUGGUUCAACCUCAGUGAUGAUGAUGCCCUGUUUGUUUCUUCAGUUUCUGCUAUUUGCAUAUUUCAUUGAAUAUUUGACUGAGGGGUUCAACCUCAGUGACGAUGAUGCCCUGUUUGUUUCUUCAGGGUGCUAUUUGGUACAUUUGUAAGUCAAAAAUGACUUUUAGUUUUUUUUUUUAGAUUUUUCUUUCGCAAUUAGUGUGUAGAAUUUGAAUUCUAUGGAAAUGACUUUCGCAAUUACUGAACCUGGAAUAAGAGCAGAGUCACAGACAUGUAGUGGUGUUUUUUGGUGGUGGAUAGUUGCUACUGAAAAUACAAGUUGAUAUGAUCUGAUAUCUUAAUUUUGCUUCUAUGAAAUACAAUACUACUAAAUGAAGAAGCCAAUUACCAAUGGAUAUAAAAAGUGGCAAAUGAAAGUCUGGUAAUUUGAAAUGAAGAUUAUACCCGCGAGGAAAUGGCAAGGGGAAGGAUUCUUGUAUUUAAAAAUCAUAUAAAAUGUAUAGAAUGUAGGAUAUUGAAGUAGAUCAUUGUGAUCUAUGCUUUGUUUUCCUCUCCUCUUGUUUUUGUCUUGUAACGUUGCUUUUGUCUAAUCAAAUUUCGCUGUAACUUGCUUCACCCUGAUUGUAUUAGCGAAAUCCCUUUGGUUAAUAUACUAACAUCUGUGUUUGGUUUGGAAGACCAAAUUAUGGUACAAUCUUUAUUUCCUUUGCAGUCUUAGGAUUGUUUAGUUUCCUUUAAACUGUAAAGUGCUAAACGUAGAAAAAGACAAUGCCGUUCAUAUGCUUAAGUCUUCUUUUUGUUCCAUUAUCAUUUGUGGGCUUGAAUUCAGAAUGGCAUUGAUGUUGUUCCAUUAUCAUUUUUUUUAGUUUCUUGUUUCUCAGUUCUUAUAAACGUUUUACUUCAUUUGUUUCUUAGUACCUGUCAUAGUUUUCUCCCAUAACAGAAUGCUAUAAGUCUAAACUUCCUGGUACGUUUUGCUUCAUUUUGUUUUACUAUAUGUGUGAUUAAGUUGUACUGACUAUUGAGAUGACUAUACUAAAAAGUCCAAUAAUUUUAUGACUAUGUAAGAUAAAAGAUAAAUGAAAAUUAUCGUAAGGAACUAUAUUGAAUGGAUUCCCUCUUAGAAAAGUUUGGGAAAGGGUACUGGCAUGUGCUGUUGGUGAGUUUAAAAUGUCAUUGCCCUGUGGAUAUAUAUUUUUUAAUUUGCAUAGGAAUGAAAAACAUGUAAGUUUGAAACUAAAAUGAGAAUUAUUGAAAAUGAAAAGUAGGUAGAGAGAAGCAUAUGCAGGCAUAGACAUUAGUUGUAGAAGGUCUAAAUUUGAAUGGGGCAUGCAGGGUGAGGAUUCAAUGUUGAAUAAUAGAUAUUAGUAAUUGGACAUGACAGAGGAAGAGGUUUCUCAGUCCUGUAGUGUAAGGUCAAUCUCAGAUGGGGUUCUCAUUAAAUACUCUCUCACCCUUUCACACUUCACCAAUACUUCUAACACUAACCUUCAAAGUUUAAGGAAAAAAUGUCUCAUUUUGUAACAUGUUUUAUAUAUCUCAUGUUUUACAAAUAAUUAUUGUAUAUAUAUUUGAAUGCAAAACAUAGUGAAUUUAAGAGUGAAUGUUAAUUUGUGGUUCUGCAUAAAAAAAAUGAAGGGUUCUGUUGGGGAUAAGUUUAAUAAAUGUAUAUUAUGGGUGUAGUAUUGUGACACUGAGCCAUUUUGGAUUUGUGGAGUAGUGUUUGAAAUAGUGUGGGAUAUUUUAAUUCCCAAACUCAGUGCUCUAAUUGAUCACCUUUUGCUGCCUAAUUCCAAAGGUCGUGAAGUCAUCAUGAAAUUUUAGUGUCAUGCAAGGUCAACCCCUGAAUUAGUUUUCACAUAUUCUGUUCAAAAUUUAAUGACCUCACUCAAUGUUAAUCACUUUUCUUGGUGAGAAUUGAAUGCUCCUCUGCAACCAGAAAAAUAGUUUUUUUUUUUUAGAUGUUGUUUAGGGAGAUUUUUAUAAUCAUAUACACUUUUAUAUUGUUUUCUAAUCAGCAUUAUAUAUAUGCACAAUAUUUGAUUUUAUUAUCAAGGAGAGUUGCCUCGUGAUUUUACUGUGCCUCAUGCACCAACGGUAUCUGAUCAAGGAAGUGUUCCUAACGAAGAAAUAAAUGAUCAACAUCCAACACCGCAUUAGAUGAUAUUUUUCGUUUACUUUUGAAAUUUGUCAACAAAUAUGCUUCUAGGAAACUUUUGGUUAAUUUUGGUUUUAUUAUAGGUAGAUAGUGCAUUGCUUAUUAUGUCAUUGUCAUUCAAAUGCUACCUCUCCAACACUUAUUAUGUUAAGAGCAUUAUGACUGCUAGUUCUAUUGGUACCAUUUGAAUGAAUAUUUGUAUUGGUACCAUUUGAAUGAAUAUUUGUAUUGAUUGCUUAUUUUGAAGUGGCAUUGAAGGUUUUGCUUAUU